GGAAUCAUGUACCAAAAUGAAUAAGCUUCGUGAUGACAAAAACACGAAUAUGUUACUUCAUUGGACCACUUCUAUUUGGUGGUCCGAACGCAAUAGGAUAACCAGGAAGUGAAUCAUUAUAUAAAAACCACAAAAUGACCACUUCGUUGUUUGACCUCUAAAGGGUGCCCCAUCACCAAAGGGAAGACUGCCUACGCUGUCACAACAAUAGGCAGCAAAUGGGUGUCUUUUUUUUUCAGUAGCUAUGAUGAUAUACGAGUGUGAAUGGCUUAGUGACAAAGGAAAUGAGUGAGUUUUGAGCGCGCACUUCGCAAACAAAUCCAUGCGUCUGCUAGAAGAAUUCUUAGUCCUGUCUGUCCAUACGGAUACCUUCUAAGCAAAGGAUUACAUAUAGAGAGUGAUCAAAAGAUUUAAAAGCUUUAAUUUAAUAAUUAUGUUCUUCAAUUUUAAUUUUAUAGUUUAUA
rnacentral:misc_RNA from 1 species